rnacentral:piRNA from 1 species
UACUCUUCGGUCUGCAAUGCCCCUC